rnacentral:lncRNA from 1 species
UCAAGAGUCUACACAAGGUAAAGAAUGAAAGACUAAAUAUGUGGACGUGUAGAUUGUAGACAACACCCCAAAUAAUGCAUAAGAUAAUAGAAACAUAAACCUUAUUCUCAAUAUAUUUGGUUAAUCCUUGGGCUCACUGCAUUCCACCCCAUGCUAGUUGACUUCUAUCCAACGGAUCAUCCAGUAAAUUUAAAUUAAUUGGAAUCACAUUAGGCCAUGUUAAUUUCGGUCUAGCCUUUCAAGCCGAAUCUGCAGGAUUGCAUUUCUUUUGAUACAAGAACUUCUUUAGGUCCAUAGACGUAUCACAAGCACCCAAGUCAUUUUUCAGUUAAUUUAUCUUGGAUUUGUACCAUUUUUUGCAAUAAUUUAUCUUGGAUUUGAACGGCUUUCACUUGUUUGCCUAUAUUCUCAAUUCUUACAUUAUUUAUUCUAGUAUGAUCAUAUAUCCAUCAGGCAUCCUCAUUCCCAUCCUUAAAUAACAACUGAUAAGUACUUUUCAGAACAGAAUUAGUAUGCCAAUCAUGAUGUAGAGCUUAGCCAUCCAAAGUUAUCAUCAAACAUAUAUUUAAAACUACAAGGGGUUGGAACAAUUCAAAUAUUUGGGAUCGUAGUAAGCUAGGAAUAGAACUUUUUGCCAUCCCUUUGGCAAUAGAUAAAUAUACAUUGACAUGAGAACGGUCACUUUAGUAAGCCACUAAGCAUAAAGGCUGAAGCUCACAAUAAAGUUCAUGAUAUCCAUUUAACACAGGAGCAUGAAGUUAAUGUAAAACAUAAAGCACUAAAUUUCUGUCACUUCUGCUUCACGCAUUGUUCUCGGUUAUUCUAAGUUAUUCAGUAAACAAUCAUAGGGAUGAAAUCCCGAAUUCUUCUCCCUCAGGCAUGCCAUGUAAAUACUUAGAGAUUUUGAUUUAUUUAGAUAAGAAAAUUAUACAAAAGUCAAGGAGGGGGCAAAGUGUGCCCAGAAACCCAAAAUGAAAAAUAGUGAUUAUCUCUUGCGGGAAAAGAUAAGCUUUAUUGAAACUCUCCAUAGACAUCA